rnacentral:rRNA from 1 species
CCAAUAGCGUAUAUUAAAGUUGUUGCAGUUAAAAAGCUCGUAGUUGAAUUUCGGGAUCAGUACGCUGGUCGUGCCUUUGGUAUGUACUGGUGUCACUGAUUCCUCCCUUCUGAAGCACCGUUAUGCCAUUUCUUUGGUGUGGCGGGAAAUCAGGACUGUUCCUUUGAAAAAAUUUGAGUGUUUAAAGCAGGCUCGCGCUUGAAUACAUUAGCAUGGAAUAAUGGAAUAGGACGUUUGAUCUUAUUUUGUUGGUUUCUAGGAUCGACGUAAUGAUUAAUAGGGAUAGUUGGGGGCAUUAGUAUUCAAUUGUCAGAGGUGAAAUUCUUGGAUUUAUUGAAGACUAACUACUGCGAAAGCAUUUGCCAAGGAUGUUUUCAUUAAUCAAGAACGAAAGUUAGGGGAUCGAAGACGAUCAGAUAUCGUCGUAGUCUUAACCAUAAACUAUGCCGACUAGGGAUCGGAUGAUGUUAAUUUUUUAAUGACUCAUUCGGCGCCUUACG